GUUUCGAUUGCAGCUCCAAAACAACCGCUUGGCAAACUUGUCUUGAAAAUUUCGAUAUUGUAACGUUAAAAAAAGUAGAAAUGACGAAAGAUAAUCUUUACACAGUUUAUAGUGAAAAAAGCGUCCUUUGAAGUGACUGUCUUUAGCCGGUAGAUGUACGCCAAUGAAGCAGGCCACAAGUAGUCCGCACAAUCACCAAGUGAAACAAUCCCAAGAUGUGCUUCAAGACCUUGCUGAAAUACGUACGGAAGUGACACAAGAGGAAACGUAAUGACAUCAUCAGUGUCGGAAGAAUUUCUCCCAACGAGGACGGGGGUACAACACAACCUCUUUCACUUAUAGGACGAACAGAAUAGCACAGAUUACGGACACGCUAUACAUGGAAUUCAUCGUGCAGAACGAAAGCUCUGCAGCAAGAGAAUAUGCCUCAAGCGGGAGUAUAGAGUCUGCAUCCGUACAUGGUAAUGCUAAAAUUAAAGCCUGAAGGUUGAGCAAUGCUCGAGUGACGUGGAAACGUGGGAGACAGUUGUAAUCAAUCAUGGUUGCAAUCUCGUUCAAGGAAACUGACGCAAUCAGGGGAAAUCCCAUAAUGCCGAAAGGCGGUAUACUUACGAAACCUUUACCUGGAAAGACCCAAACAUUCCGGAUUUUCCGGUGAUUGUGGAGAAGGAGGUAAUCAAAGGAUACUCGGUAAUACCUAAGGUAAUAAAAAAAAAGGAAAGAAAAUCGUUCUCCCACAAUACCGCUGACAGGCUCCUCUGCAAUCCCAUUCUGCAAUGGAUAUAAAGCUUUGAAUAAUAGCAUUGAUUCGAUGUCAGUCUCCUGUGUCUCAGCACAACGAACCCAACUACAACUAGUCAAAAAAGCUAACUCCAUUAUGCAUUCACUGAAAACACUGAUAAUAGCUCUAUUGGUGUUUGUUUGCGCCAUUGUUGCCCGACCUAUGAUUCAAUUAGAUUCUGAAUCUAAUGACGACGUAUAUCACAGUUUGAAUGUUCAACAAUUACCUGUCGGCUAUCAUAGUUCAACAUCCAACAGUCCUAUCCUGCAAUCAGAAAACAAUUCAAUAUUGCCAUUACCUCUGCGGAAGGAUCGCUUUAAAAGAAAUACGGUGGUACAAAAUCAUAACGGAAUACGUUAUAACGGCAUAACUAUUAAACUUCCAGAAGGCGAUGGCCUCGCUAAUUCACUGGUGUCAUCCAGCACGGAAAAACCACGAACGAAGCCAGGCAACCGACUGACUCGUAUUCAUAUCCGGAUAGGGUGAUGUUUGGUAUAGAGAUUAUUUGUGUAUUUACAAUCGUAGGUGUAAAUAAAAUUUCGCGGUAUGUUUUUU